UACGAAGGGGGCUAGCGUUGCUCGGAAUUAUUGGGCGUAAAGAGCUUGUAGGCGGUUUGUCGCGUCUGCCGUGAAAAUUCGAGGCUCAACCUCGAACUUGCGGUGGGUACGGGCAGACUAGAGUGUGGUAGGGGAGACUGGAAUUCCUGGUGUAGCGGUGAAAUGCGCAGAUAUCAGGAGGAACACCGAUGGCGAAGGCAGGUCUCUGGGCAUUAACUGACGCUGAGGAGCGAAAGCAUGGGGAGCGAACAGG
rnacentral:rRNA from 1 species